UGCUCCUACGGGGGGCAGCAGUGGGGAAUAUUGCACAAUGGGGGGAACCCUGAUGCAGCGACGCCGCGUGGGUGAAGGAGUAUUUCGGUAUGUAAAGCCCUAUCAGCAGGGAAGAACAAUGACGGUACCUGACUAAGAAGCACCGGCUAAAUACGUGCCAGCAGCCGCGGUAAUACGUAUGGGGCAAGCGUUAUCCGGAUUUACUGGGUGUAAAGGGGGCGCAGACGGCGAUGCAAGCCAGGAGUGAAAGCCCGGGGCCCAACCCCGGGACUGCUCUUGGAACUGCGUGGCUGGAGUGCAGGAGG
rnacentral:rRNA from 1 species